CCUACGGGGGGCAGCAGUGAGGAAUAUUGGUCAAUGGGCUUACGCCUGAACCAGCCAAGUCGCGUGAGGGAAGACUGCCCUAUGGGUUGUAAACCUCUUUUGUCAGGGAGCAAGGCCGGCUACGUGUAGCCGGACUGAGAGUACCUGAAGAAAAAGCAUCCGCUAACUCCGUGCCAGCAGCCGCGGGAAUACGGGGGAUGCGAGCGUUAUCGGGAUUUAUUGGGUGAAAUGGGUGCGUAGGCGGAAUGCAAAGUAAGGGGUAAAAUCGCGGGGCUCAACCGCGCUCCGCCGUUGAUACUGGCGUUCUUGAGUGGGCGAGAAGGAUGCGGAAUGCGAGGUGUAGCGGGGAAAUGCAUAGAUAUCACGCAGAAUUCCGAUUGCGAAGGCAGCAUACCGGCGCCCAACUGACGCUGAAGCACGAAAGCGUGGGUAUCGAACAGGAUUAGAUACCCCAGUAGUC
rnacentral:rRNA from 1 species